CAGUCGAACGAGGAUUUAACGGAAUGCGAUUCGUCAAAUGAAAUUAAAUCCGACUGUCGGACGGGUGAGUAACGCGUGGAUAACCUGCCUCACACAGGGGGACAACAGCCGGAAACGGCUGCUAAUACCGCAUAACAUGAGCAGCUCGCAUGGGCAGCUCACCAAAGAUUUUAUCGGUGUGAGAUGGAUCCGCGUCUGAUUAGCCAGUUGGCGGGGUAACGGCCCACCAAAGCGACGAUCAGUAGCCGACCUGAGAGGGUGACCGGCCACAUUGGGACUGAGACACGGCCCAAACUCCUACGGGAGGCAGCAGUGGGGAAUAUUGCACAAUGGGCGCAAGCCUGAUGCAGCGACGCCGCGUGAAGGAUGAAGUAUUUCGGUAUGUAAACUUCUAUCAGCAGGGAAGAAAAUGACGGUACCUGACUAAGAAGCCCCGGCUAACUACGUGCCAGCAGCCGCGGUAAUACGUAGGGGGCAAGCGUUAUCCGGAUUUACUGGGUGUAAAGGGAGCGUAGAUGGCAUGGCAAGUCUGAAGUGAAAGCCCGGGGCUUAACCCCGGGACUGCUUUGGAAACUGUUAAGCUAGAGUGCAGGAGAGGUAAGCGGAAUUCCUAGUGUAGCGGUGAAAUGCGUAGAUAUUAGGAGGAACACCGGUGGCGAAGGCGGCUUACUGGACUGUAACUGACAUUGAGGCUCGAAAGCGUGGGGAGCAAACAGGAUUAGAUACCCUGGUAGUCCACGCCGUANACGAUGAAUACUAGGUGUUGGGGANCAUA
rnacentral:rRNA from 1 species